GGGCCCGUAGCUCAGCUGGUUAGAGCAGUCGACUCAUAAUCGAUUGGUCGGGGGUUCAAGUCCCUCCGGGCCCA
rnacentral:tRNA from 1 species